UUGGUUGUUGAAUUUAGAGUACCUAGAGCUUAGUAACAAUACACUAACAGAUUUCAUCACACAAACAACCUAGACUAUCUUGUAGACUUGCAGUAGAAUUAUCUCUGUGGAAAAUUUCACAAGAAGUAGAAGGCGCACCAUCCUCAUCCACCCCUGCUGCUAUCUGCUCCUCUCCUUCACGGGACCAAACCCCUGCGCCAGCUCCGCUGCCGUGGCACAAGCUCCUCCUCACGGUGGCCGACUCCGCCUGCUUCUCUCCUGCACUUGUCCUCCUCGCAAAGAAAAAAAAGAAGGCCCACGCCCUCGCCGCUGGGUCACUCGACACCGGCGCGCUCACCAGCGACUAGGCCACCGUUGCCGCGGCGUCUGCGCCGGCGGCCCUCGACAUUGCCGCGGUCUUCGACUACCGCGCGACCCCUCUCGACGUCGUCGCCGCGCUCUAAUGCGAGGACGCGCGCCUGGGCUGUCCCCGAAGCGCCCGCUGCCUCCAAGGACAGGGCCGACCUCCGGAGGCUCCUUCUAGGGUCCUCCAACCACGCAGCGGCCGGCGCCCCUACGGCGGUCUCGCUCUCCCAGCCAAGGUGCCCGCCGUGCGCGGGCCAUCCACGCCUGGGUGAGCGGUGAGCUCCGGUACUGAAGGUCGGAACAAGGAUGUGACCUACAUGCGAAGCCAAGGAGGAGACUUUGAUGCUGCUGGCUGCUCAAACGGGCGAGGCGGCGGAGGAGGCCCUGAUGACACUGGCCGUGCAGCUUGUACGUGCGGUAGGUGUAACCUCGGCACCUACCUCGGCUCAUGUCCUCCAACCUCGUGGCCACCUGCGCCCCUACCCUACAGCGGUCUCGUUCUCGAAGGCGCCGGCCGUUGACAGGGGGGCCCUUCCGGGGGCGGCGCGGGCUCAAUGCUCCGGUACUGAAGCUUGGGAACAGGGAUGCCACUGGCCGUGCACCUUGUACAGUAGGCGCAUUCGACGUGCAACCCCAGCGCCGCUACGGCUCACUGCUUCUGUGCUAAUGCUGCUUAGGGAUCGGAUCAUGCUACUGACGGAAAGGGCACCAAGUUGCUUCUUCGCGUGGAUUCUGCAGUGGUUACAGAUUGGGGAACCUCCCAAGCUAUGGGCUGGACUGUUGUUUGCUCCGAAACUGGAGCCCCCUACAGUACAGGAAAAGCGAAGAAAGCUACCAAGAGCAGUGAGUUAGCGAUCGAGGAGGAGAUUAGAUUGCCGAAAGUUUCCAAGGGAACAUGUGGCUUUGGGGAAAAUCAAAUGGCCAUAAGGCCGCGUGCACUUUCAAUAAUGACAGAUUUGUUUGAGAAAGACGGUGUUGCUGAAAUUGAUACACUCCUUCCCGGAAAAUAUGGUGAAGACUCUUAAUAAGUUGGUCUACGACCUUGCUGAUAAGGAAGGCAAAGGCAGUACUGUGGCGCCCAAGGAAGGAAGCAGCAGCCCAGCCACCUGGGACACAUGAGAAGGAGAGCAGGCGCUACUUAUCAGAGAGCCUGAAGCGUAGUGUAGGUGUUGUGUGUUUUAUAAUAAACACACAAAUUCCAUCACCUUCUCCCCUCCUUCCCAAUUCCAUCCCUGAUCCUCUUGUAUCAACUCUAGAACUCGAAUUCCAGGAGUAACUAAGGACUACUGAACGAGGCACAUAACAUCACCGCCAUUGCGGAAACUCUGUUGAAGAAAUCUCCCAGGGGCUGUGUCAGAACUCAGAAGCAUGGAGGCCUCGGCGAAGGUACUAACAUCGACGCUUCCAACAAAUCACAGUGAACCUAAUAGAUGCCAACAGUAUGAACUUGUCACCCUGAGAACUGAGAAUAGAAGACCUGUGUACCAGGGUGGAUUUUAUCGGCAACCUCCAGGUUUGUGCUCCACAAGGCCUUCUCUUCGUUCUUGUCAAAUACGCUCCACAAGGCCCUAUUCCACAGUAAGGCAAGAAAUGUUGACGCUGUGGCCGCCCGAUACUACACUGUUGGUGAUGGGCAAGCCUGGUUAAGACUCAAACUGCACUCUGAGUUUGUCUAUGUGAAAACAUCCAAUCCAAUACCUCCCAAGCAGACUUGAUUUUAUCUCCACGUGUAAUUCUAACUGGCCUCGAAUAUGCCACCACAA